UACGGGGGGGGCAAGCGUUGUUCGGAAUUACUGGGCGUAAAGGGCUCGUAGGUGGCCAACUAAGUCAGACGUGAAAUCCCUCGGCUUAACCGGGGAACUGCGUCUGAUACUGGAUGGCUUGAGUUCGGGAGAGGGAUGCGGAAUUCCAGGUGUAGCGGUGAAAUGCGUAGAUAUCUGGAGGAACACCGGUGGCGAAGGCGGCAUCCUGGACCGACACUGACACUGAGGAGCGAAAGCCAGGGGAGCAAACUGG
rnacentral:rRNA from 1 species